GCUAAACUCAUUACACACACAAACAUCUAAAUUAAAUUAAACAAACCAUUUGAUAAACCUAGUAGAUGCGAUCAAACAGUAAUAAAUCAUCACAAGUACCGCAAGGGAAAACAUUAAGCAGUAUACAGCAAAGAUUAAAACUUGUACCUUUUGCAUCAUGGUUUAGCAAGUAACCAAGGACAAGAAGAAUCACAGCCCCUUACCCCGAAACCAGAUGAGCUACUAUAAAGCAGCCCGUGGGGCACACCCUUCUCUGUAGCAAAAGAGUGGGAAGACUUAAUAGUAGAAGUGAAACGCUUACCGAAUCUGGAGAUAGCUGGCUACCCAUAAAGGAAUAUAAGUUCCACUUUAGACCAGUAAAUCACACUUAAUCACCUAAAGAUAAUCAAUAGGGGUACAGCUCUAUUGAAACAGGAUACAACCUGAAUUUGAAAGCUCACCCACCACUAAACCACCAGUAGGCCUUCAAGCAGCCACCACACACAAUAUCGUUAAAGAAUUAAUAGUAUAAUCCUUAUACUAACCAAAAACUUCAAACAAACUAAAGGUAGACCCAUAUCUAUGGGUAUUAUUAUGCUAAAACUAAUAAUAAGACAACCUCUCUAUUACGUACCUAUCAGCUAAAACGGAUACCCCACUAGCAAUUAACAGACCACAAAAGGUAAAAACAAACCAAUAUUCAUCUAAAACAAACUGUGACCCCGACACAGGCACGUAUCAAAGAAAGAUUAACCAUUGUAAAAGGAACUCGGCAACCAAAAACCCCAACUGUUUAACAAAAACAUAACCUUUAGCCACUAACAAGUAUUAAAGGCAACGCCUGCCCGGUGAACAAUUAAACGGCCGCGGUACCCUAACCGUGCAUAGGUAGCGUAAUCAUUUGUCUACUAAUUAUAGACCAGUAUGAAAGGCAAAAUGAGGGUUUAACUGUCUCUUACAACGGAUCAAUUAAACUGAUCUACCAGUAAAAAAGCUGGAAUAUUACCAUAAGACCAGAAGACCCUGUGAAGCUUAAAAUAAACUAUUAAACCAUAUAAUAACUACUUUCGGUUGGGGCGACCUUGGAAACAAAAAGAACUUCCAACAACACACUCCCAGACACACAGGCCCACAAGCCACUAAACGACCCAGCUUCUAAGCUGAUAAAUGAACCAAGUUACUCCAGGGAUAACAGCGCCAUCUUCUUCAAGAGCCCAUAUCAAAAAGAAGGUUUACGACCUCGAUGUUGGAUCAGGACAUCCUAAUGGUGUAGCCGCUAUUAAAGGUUCGUUUGUUCAACGAUUAACAGUCCUACGUGAUCUGAGUUCAGACCGGAGUAAUCCAGGUCGGUUUCUAUCUAUGAUUAGCUUUAUCUAGUACGAAAGGAUCGAUAAAGCAAAGCCUAUACUAAAAGCAUGCUUUACCAAAAGAUAAAAAAAUUAACAUCAAUAUAAACAUCAUUAAACCAAGAUAAGGUUAAUUAAGAUAUGUCCUCAAUA
rnacentral:rRNA from 1 species